GUGAGGAAUAUUGCGCAAUGGACGGAAGUCUGACGCAGCAACGCCGCGUGGGCGAAGAAGGCCUUCGGGUCGUAAAGCCCUUUUCUGAGGGACGAGGCAGGACGGUACCUCAGGAAUCAGUCUCGGCUAACUACGUGCCAGCAGCCGCGGUAAAACGUAGGAGGCAAGCGUUAUCCGGAUUUAUUGGGCGUAAAGCGCAUGCAGGUGGUUCCGCAAGUCGGGUGUGAAAGCUCCUGGCUUGACUGGGAGAGGUCGUUCGAAACUGCGGGACUGGAGGUCGGAAGAGGGAAGCGGAAUUCCCGGUGUAGUGGUGGAAUGCGUAGAUAUCGGGAGGAACACCAGUGGCGAAAGCGGCUUCCUGGUCCGCACCUGACACUCAGAUGCGAAAGCGUGGGGAGCGAACGGGAUUAGAAACCCCGGUAGUCC
rnacentral:rRNA from 1 species